UACAAAGGUCCCAAGCAUUGUUCGGAUUCACUGAGCGUAAAGGGUGCGUAGGUGGUCGGGUAAGUCUGAGGUGAAAUCUCCGAGCCCAACUCGGAAACUGCCUCGGAUACUAUUCGGCUAGAGGGUUGGAAGGGGGAUUGGAAUUCUCGGUGUAGCAGUGAAAUGCGUAGAUAUCGAGAGGAACACCAGUGGCGAAGGCGAAUCCCUGGACAACUCCUGACACUGAGGCACGAAAGCUAAAGGAGCAAACAGG
rnacentral:rRNA from 1 species